UACGUAGGGGGCAAGCGUUGUCCGGAUUUAUUGGGCGUAAAGAGCGUGUAGGCGGUUCGGUAGGUCCGUUGUGAAAACUCGAGGCUCAACCUCGAGACGCCGAUGGAAACCCCCGAACUAGAGUCCGGAAGAGGAGAAUGGAAUUCCUGGUGUAGCGGUGAAAUGCGCAGAUAUCAGGAGGAACACCCGUGGCUAAGGCGGCUCUCUAGUACGGUACUGACGCUGAGACGCGAAAGCGUGGGGAGCGAACAGG
rnacentral:rRNA from 1 species